GACGAACGCUGGCGGCGUGCUUAACACAUGCAAGUCGAACGGUGAAGCGCCUUCCUUUUUGGUGGGUGUGGAUGAGUGGCGAACGGGUGAGUAACACGUGAGUAACCUGCCCCCUUCUUCUGGAUAACCGCAUGAAAGUGUGGCUAAUACGGGAUAUUCUGGGUCUGUCGCAUGAUGGGUCUGGGAAAGAUAUUGUUUCGGUGGGGGAUGGGCUCGCGGCCUAUCAGGUUGUUGGUGGGGUGAUGGCCUACCAAGGCGGUGACGGGUAGCCGGCCUGGGAGGGUGGGCGGUCACACUGGGGCUGCGACACCGCGCAGACUCCUACGGGAGGCAGCAGUGGGGACUAUUGCACAAUGGGCGCAAGGCUGAUGCAGCGCCGCCGCGUGAGGGAUGGAGGCCUUCGGGUUGUGAACCUCUUUCGCCAGUGAAGCAGGCCUGCCUCGUUUGUGGGUGGGUUGACGGUAGCUGGAUAAGAAGCGCCGGCUAACUACGUG
rnacentral:rRNA from 1 species